rnacentral:rRNA from 1 species
AGGGCCGCAGUAUUUKGACUGUGCUAAGGUAGCAUAAUCAUUAGUUUUUUAAUUGAAAGCUGGAAUGAAUGGUUGGAUGAAAAAAUAACUGUCUCUGUUUAAUUUAGUUGAAUUUUAUUUUUAAGUUAAAAAGCUUAAAUAUUUUUAAAAGACGAGAAGACCCUAUAGAGUUUUAUAUAAUAAUAUUUUUAAGGAAUUAGUAUAUUAAAGUUAAUAGUAAGAUUUUAUUUAAUUGGGGUGAUUGAGAAAUAAAUUUAACUUUUUUUWAUAUUUAAUUCAUUGAUAUAUGAAAAAUUGAUCCAUUAUUUGUGAUUAUAAGAUUAAAUUACCUUAGGGAUAACAGCGUAAUUUUUUUUAAGAGUUCUAAUCGAAAAAGAAGAUUGCGACCUCGAUGU